AUUGAACGCUGGCGGCAGGCCUAACACAUGCAAGUCGAGCGGCUGAAGGGAGCUUGCUCCUGGAUUCAGCGGCGGACGGGUGUGUAAUGCCUAGGAAUCUGCCUUGUAGUGUGGGAUAACGUCCGGAAACGGGCGCUAAUACCGCAUACGUCCUGAGGGAGAAAGUGGGGGUUCUUCGGACCUCACGCUAUCCGAUGAGCCUAGGUCGGAUUAGCUAGUUGGUGGGGUAAAGGCCUACCAAGGCGACGAUCCGUAACUGGUCUGAGAGGAUGAUCGGUCACACUGGAACUGAGACGCGGUCCAAACUCCUACGGGAGGCAGCAGUGGGGAAUAUUGGACAAUGGGCGAAAGCCUGAUCCAGCCAUGCCGCGUGUGUGAAGAAGGUCUUCGGAUUGUAAAGCACUUGAAGUUGGGGGGGAGGGAAGUAAGUUAGCACCUUGCUGUCUUGACGUUACCAACAGAAUAAGCACCGGCUAACUACGUG
rnacentral:rRNA from 1 species